CAGCACACACACGGGCCUACCCCGUCCCCAAAUGUUUCCCACAAAAUCUGGCACUCCUGGUUCUAAUCAAAAUACUGAACUUUUUGGAACAAAUUAACAUUCCGCAGCCUCGCGGGGAAGGGGGAUCUCAGCCGAGACGACUUCAGUUCACAACCACAACAAAAAUAGCUCCUCCUGGGGAAGACGCGUUCUGCUAACAAGGUCACUUUUAUUUUGCUUCCCCUGCCAUCUGGCUGAGUGGCACCAGGGGCUGGCUCUGGUACCAGCUGGUUCUGCAGCGAGGACGGAGCCGGGUGGCGCUGCAGAAGGCUUCAGUCUCCUGGCAAGGGAAGCCGCGCAAAGUUACCUUCAGACAUCUCCAGAAAGUGCAGGGGCAGAUGGAGCCCCCCGAUUGGCCCAGCCUUGCGGGAGGUGUCGCCCCAGAGACAGCAACAAGCAGGAAAGACAAAAGAUGCUGGUGUCCUUUGUGAAGGACCUGCUGUUUGUGCAUGGUGUAGGACAGGGAUGGCCAGCUUUGCGUUUAUUUCAGUAAUUAUGCCAGCUCGACCCUCUUGACCUGGGAGGCCCCUUCGUUUCUGCUCCUGUUUCCUCGUCGGUAAGAUGGGAGGAGCGGUGACACUCUGGGAGCCGAGUGAGGAUCCACAAGGUCAUGAAACGGGACAGUGACUUUCAAGACCUUCGUUGCAAAUAAUGCAGCAACAAACUGAGUGCACUCCAGUUCCUAUAUGGACAUCCAAGUCCUCCUCCAUGUCCUUGCCCUGGAUGGAUAAGUUAUUUUUCAGAAGAAUCUGGUGACCACAGUGCAGGUGUGCAAAGCCCUGGGCUUGCCAGUGGCAUGGGGAAGUCCCUUCGUUAGACCUUAGACACACAGACGUCGCAUCCUUCCCUUCUGAGGAGAGGCUUGUGUUACGGUGGCCGGAUGUCCCUGUUUGCCAGCUGGUCUCGGGUCACACCUGUUGUCCCAGUGUAAAUAUUAACGGUACUGCUUUGCCCUCUCGGGAGGAUCCCGGGCUGGAUGAGAGGGUCUAGGUUGCCCUGUCUGUGGACUUUCCGGUGAGUGAGCCGUCCAAGGAAGGGUUCUUAGUGGGGGAGGGGAAUUUGCCUCCCAGGGGACGUGUGGCAGCGUGUGCCGACAUGUCCAGCCUCACACCUUGGGCAGGAGGCUCUCCUAGCACGGGCAGGUGGAGACCAGGGUGCUGCUGAUCACCCUGCAGAGUGCGGCCCAGCGCCCCCACCCCUCGGAGAAGGACCUGGCCCCGGGGUCAGCAGUCCCCGCGGUGCAAGGGGGAAGGACUAGGAAGGAGAGGAAGGGGACUCGAGCGGGGCUCGGGAAAUGAGCUCAGCUUUCCCUCCCGCCUCUGCCCUUUUGAAAUGGCUCAGUCCUGUCCGUUUGGUCCUCGGUGCAGAGGGGCUGACUCCAGCCCCCCGGGCCUGGCACAGAGCAAGUGCUCUGAGUCCCCGGGCUUGCCAAAGGCAGAACCCUCAGCUCCCAGGCGUAGGCGGUCCCCCCACCAGACCCCAGAGGUGGGAGAGCAGGGGGAGUCCCGCCUCACACCCUCAAUUGACAUUCCCAGAACACCCAAAUGACGUGUGGCUAUUCCAAGUCCCAAGUUAGGCCUUCAGCAGCGUCUGGGUCAGUGAUGGAAUGCGGAGAAGCCCUGGGCCUGUCCCCAUCUGGCCUGUUCAUAAUUGGGUGUGUUUCAACGCGCAUGCGCGUCCCAGCGCCAGAUUACGUCAUUGUCUUGGCCCCUCACCUGUCAGGUCUGAGCUCAGUCUGCGACCGCCGGGUGGCGGGCUCUCCGUAAAUACUCGUCAAGGGUGAGGUCAGAGGAAGCGGCCGACUUCAGCUAAGGACCAUUAUUAACCCACACCCCAGCCUCCUCCCCACCUGGGGGGAUGAGAGCACGGCCAAGGGCAGCGAAGAAUCACACUUGAAGAGCUCGGGAGAAAUCAGACGGAGCUUAAGUGAAAUCAGGCCACGAGAAGAGGCACAGGCUGUUCAUGAACAGGGAGGACCCAAACCCGGUGACCAAUGGGCUAGUCCUUAGGAACCUCGCUGCCCAGAUUCACUCCAUCACGGUGACUUCCCUAAGUACAGUGGAGACGGGUGAAAAAUCUUUAUGCCAAUAAAAAAAUAUU